CGAAUGCUGACAUAAGUAACGAUAAAGCGGGUGAAAAGCCCGCUCGCCGGAAGACCAAGGGUUCCUGUCCAACGUUAAUCGGGGCAGGGUGAGUCGACCCCUAAGGCGAGGCCGAAAGGCGUAGUCGAUGGGAAACAGGUUAAUAUUCCUGUACUUGGUGUUACUGCGAAGGGGGGACGGAGAAGGCUAUGUUGGCCGGGCGACGGUUGUCCCGGUUUAAGCGUGUAGGCUGGUUUUCCAGGCAAAUCCGGAAAAUCAAGGCUGAGGCGUGAUGACGAGGCACUACGGUGCUGAAGCAACAAAUGCCCUGCUUCCAGGAAAAGCCUCUAAGCAUCAGGUAACAUCAAAUCGUACCCCAAACCGACACAGGUGGUCAGGUAGAGAAUACCAAGGCGCUUGAGAGAACUCGGGUGAAGGAACUAGGCAAAAUGGUGCCGUAACUUCGGGAGAAGGCACGCUGAUAUGUAGGUGAAGCGACUU
rnacentral:rRNA from 1 species